rnacentral:rRNA from 1 species
UACGAAGGGGGCUAGCGUUGCUCGGAAUCACUGGGCGUAAAGCGCACGUAGGCGGAUUGCUAAGUCAGGGGUGAAAUCCUGGAGCUCAACUCCAGAACUGCCUUUGAUACUGGCGAUCUCGAGUCCGGGAGAGGUGAGUGGAACUGCGAGUGUAGAGGUGAAAUUCGUAGAUAUCCGGAGGAAUACCAAAGGCGAAGGCAGUGUCCUGGCAAGUAACUGACGCUGAGGCGCGAAAGCUAGGGGAGCGAACAGG